UAACGUUACUAUGCUAGGUAUAGCUAUCCAAGAAAAUGCUUAAUAUGCAUCGACUUAUUUGAUUACAUCACUGUACAUCGGACUUUAGUGUUGCCAAACGAUAUUUUACUCUGCGGUACAUAUCAUCCUACUGAAAAUGGGCACUUGUCCCACAAUGUUGUGGUAGUUAACUAGCCCAAUAAUGGACCUGCUAAAUUAACCUUAGUCCUUCUGUUUAAGGCGAAUUGACUCAUCUAAACGUGAAUCAUUCUUAACCCUAUUGUUGUGUUCCGGUCGAAUUGGACCGAUUGUAGUCUGAAGAAUGUAGUUUUAUUAUUUUUGUUUAACUAGGCAAGUCAGUUACGAACAUUCUUAUUUACAAUUUACAGUGGUCAACUGCCUUGUUCAGGGGCAGAACGGCAGAUGUUUACCUGCUAAAUCGGGGAUUCGAUCCAGCAAACUUUAGUUUAUUGGCCUACCGCUCUAACCACUAGGCUACCUACCUACUUACUGGCCCACCGCUCUAACCACUAGGCUACCUGCCGCCCAUUUAGUUCAUUUAAUCUGAUUGUCAUAAGGUUCCAUGACUGUCCACAUAGGGCAUCUGAACACACAAAAUACAUUUAAGAUUUUCUUAAAAUUUGGGGUGUGUUUUAUUUAACUUUUGUACACCUGUGGUGUUCCUGGUCAGAAAUGACCGGUCAUUAGAAAUGAAUGGGUGAGACUACAAUUAGUGUAUACAAUUGAGUUCAGGCACCUGCCCAUUCAUCAGAUGGACACACUUCCUCUCCCAGACCCCCACAUGCAUGCGUUUCACACACCUCACUCCCCUUUUUUUUUUCCAUGGAAAACCCAAUGGGAACCUUUCCCCAAUAUAAUCUUUCCCUCACGGGAUCCACACAUGUUGGCAUUCUCACAAACAAUCGCAACAUUGUUUCAAUAAUAUAUAGAACUUUUCUUGCAGCUCUGGUAUAAUUAAGCUUUUUUGAGGCCUUGCUCACAAUUCGUUCUGUGGCAGCACAAUGACCAAACGAUACACUGUAUGUGAGGCUCUUGAUCAUGACAAUGGUGAGGAGGAGAGAGGCCAGGAAACAGGAAACUGACAGUGAAGAUACAUUAGGAGGAAAUGUCAGAAGUUGAUGACACAGAAUAUGAUCCAGACCAAGAGACAACCGAUGUGGAACAAUCCAGGGAUGAGGAAGAGGGCCCUGCUGAGGUUGUUACAUUCUGGUCAAACAAUGGGAAUUUGUCCUGGUCUUCAUCCCCACCUGAGAGGAGAGGUCGGCUGAAAAUGUUAUCAGGAUGACCCCAGGGCCAACGAGAUACGCCAUAUCCUGGGUUGAUGACAUAAAAUCAUGCUUCGAACUGUUCCUGACAGAGUCAAUCAAAACCACAGUGAUAAACAUGACCAAUUUGGAGGGGGGACGCGUUUACAAAGACAACUGAAAGGAGGUAGACCGGACAGACGUAAAAGCAUACGUGGAUCUCUUGAUUGUGUACAGAUCCAGAAACAAACCUACCACCAGUUUAUGGGAUGCAGAGUCUGGUCGGGCAAUUAUUAUUUACUUUCUUAAAUUGGCUUUGACAACCGUGAUACAAGACCAGGCCACUUUCAACAAGACAAGCUGGCAACUAUCAGAGGUUUGGCACAAGUGGGUGGAGCGCCUGCCACUCAUCUAUAACCCAAGUCCAGGCAUCACAGUGGAUGAGUGGUCGCUUUUAGGGGACGCUGCCCAUUCAAACAGCACAUGCCAAGCAAACCGCCUAAAUAUGGAAUCAAGAUAUGGGCAGCAUGUGAUGCUAGGACACGUUAUGCCUGGAACAUGCAGGUUUACAUCGGGAAACCUGGUGACGGUGUUCCCGAAAGGUACCAGGGGAAGCGGGUGGUCCUGGAAAUGACUGCAGGUUUCCAGGGACACAACAUAACACGUGACAAUUUCUUCACCUCAUGCUCUUGGUCAGGAGCUGCUCUCAAUAAAAAUGACCGUGGUGGGGACGGUCAGAAGGAACAAGCCUCAUUUGCCUCACAACCAAGGACAGGGAUUGUUUUUUCCCUCCAAGUUUGCCUUCACCGAUACACAAACACUUGUGUCCUAAUGCCCGAGGGAAAAAGAAGAAUGUGCUCCUGAUGACAACUUUGCGUAGGGAUGCCGCUGUGAGUACCAGGGAGGACAGGAAGCACAACCCUGUCCUGGAUUACAACAGGAACAAAGGGGGAGUUGACAACCUCGAUAAGGUCACUGGCACAUACUCUUGUAAGAGGAUGACAGCACGUUGGCCCAUGGUGGUGUUCUUCAACAUCCUAGACGUGUCGGUCUACAACAGGUUUGUGAUGUGGAUGGAGGUGAAGCCAGGGGAAUUUCUUCAAGAGGAUACUAUUCCUAGAAGAGUUGGGGAAAGCCAUGGUGGCACCCCUCAUUCAAAGGCACCAACAUCUUCCUCGAACACCAUCCUCUGCUGGAUUGGUGAGAGAUAUACAAAGAUCAGAAGCAAGAUCUCCGUCUGCCAGAGACAGAAGAGACAAAAGGGAAAAAGGUGCAAUCUGUGUGCAACAAGAGUUGUCAAAACAAGCAUUGUGCCGUAAAUGCAGUGCAUAUAUUUGCAAGGCACAUGCAUCAACCACCACGUAUUGGCCAACAUGUACAUGAGAGCACACAAAAUGGAACCACCAUUGAUUGUUAGUAAUACGGUUAUUGUUCCUGUUGUUCUUUAAUGUGUUCAGAUGUUAAUUUUGUAAUAUGGUAAAGUUCUCAUGUGUAGUUUUGGGCCUCUGUCCUUUCUUUACUAAUAAAAUCAUACCGGGUCAGUUUUGACCAGGAACACAGA